GUCCACGCUGUAAACGAUGAAUACUAGGUGUGGGGAUCGUAGGAUUUCCGUGCCGCAGUUAACACAAUAAGUAUUCCACCUGGGGAGUACGGCCGCAAGGUUGAAACUCAAAGGAAUUGACGGGAGCCCGCACAAGCAGUGGAGUAUGUGGUUUAAUUCGACGCAACGCGAAGAACCUUACCGGAGCUUGACAUCCCUCUGACCGACCGAGUAAUGUUGGUCUUUCCUUCGGGACAGAGGAGACAGGUGGUGCAUGGUUGUCGU
rnacentral:rRNA from 1 species